GCCAGGUGUAUGGCUGGCACCUGUAGUCCUAGGUACUUGGGAGGCUGAGGCAGUAGGAUCACUUGAGUCCAGGAAUUUGAGACUGCAGCGAGUUAUGAUCGUGCCGCUGCACUCCAGCCUGGACAACAGAGUGAGACCCUGUCUCUA
rnacentral:SRP_RNA from 2 species